ACGGAAGGCAGCAGUGGGGAAUAUUGCACAAUGGGGGAAACCCUGAUGCAGCGACGCCGCGUGAGUGAAGAAGUAUUUCGGUAUGUAAAGCUCUAUCAGCAGGAAAGAAAAUGACGGUACCUGACUAAGAAGCCCCGGCUAAAUACGUGCCAGCAGCCGCGGUAAUACGUAUGGAGCAAGCGUUAUCCGGAUUUACUGGGUGUAAAGGGUGUGUAGGCGGCAUGGCAAGUCAGAUGUGAAAGACCGGGGCUCAACUCCGGGGCUGCAUUUGAAACUGUCAGGCUGGAGUACAGGAGAGGCAGGCGGAAUUCCUAGUGUAGCGGUGAAAUGCGUAGAUAUUAGGAGGAACACCAGUGGCGAAGGCGGCCUGCUGGACUGUUACUGACGCUGAGGCACGAAAGCGUGGGGAGCAAACAGGAUUAGAUACCCUAGUA
rnacentral:rRNA from 1 species